CCGCAUUUGCAGUUGGUGGUGAGAUUUUAACAAAUAACCGCAUCAAACCGCAACACACUCACCCCUAAAGAAGACCUGAGUUUGAUUCUUAUAAUGUCUCUCCAUACACACAAAUUUUUAUCCAAUGGCUCCAAGGGCAAUGAUAUUAUUGGAAAGGCUUGAUUCCAUUUUCAGUCAGCUAUAUGUUCCAAUUUCUUUCUCGGCCAGACGAUACUUUCCGCGUCAUGAGGGGCUAAGCCAUUAAUUCAAGGACCGAAGCUUUCAUCUGACUUCCCAUAUGUUCGAGACCAUUAUUUCUUAGUCGUUGAAAGCAGAAGAAAAACAUCAUAUUCUAAUGAUUUAGAAAUGUAAUAUUUGAAAAAGGAUUAAUGUAUGGAAGGCCAAGUUUCUCUUUAUUUUGGUGGUAAGCUCUCUCUUAAAAUUAGUCCUUUCCACUGUUCCUAUACAUACCUUGGGUCUCCUACAGGAUUUCUAAGAUAGAAAAGUGUUGCGGCUAAUUUAUUAUAUCAAAUAGGGCCCAAGACUUGUAACUAGUUUUGCAAUUUCUACCUUUUUACAAUUUAUUUUAUUUAAAUAGUUAAAUAAAAUUAAAAAGAGAAUAUUUAUCUUUUAAACAGCUUACCACUUCAUAUCAUCAUAUUAAUCCAUAUCACCAUAUUAAGUGAUCAUAUUAAGUUUAGAUGUCAAUAAAAUUAGAAAAUUAUGAGAUGGCAGUAGUGCUCAUAGUCAUAAACGAUCAGAAUAUCCAGAAUCUACAAUGAUNAUAUAUAUAUAUAUAUAGAGAGAGACAAAAUGUUGUUGAUGUAUAUGAUAGUAUUUCUUUUUUCCAACAGAAAAUGAAUAUUGUACUACUUUUCCCUAGUGAAGAAAAAUUUAUAUAAUAUCCGCAUACUAUAUAGAUAACCUUACAAACAUUCAAGCAACAAAUACAGGAAAAAAAUGUUGGAUUUUUAUUACCUAUUUGUUGUGCUUCUAAAAAAUUAGAAGUUGUAAUUAUCAAAUUCGCAGCGACAUUGGUAUAAAUUUUCGUUAAAAGGUUUAACAAUAGAGAAUGAAGUUCCCAUAAUUUUUUUUAUUGCUGGAUUCGCUCAAUUUAGAUUUUUUUAAAAAUAACGUAGUUUAAUAUUAAAUUUAAAUUGUCAUAAAAACAAAAAAAAUGAUCAGAACGCAAAAAAAUCAGAUUACUUCUAUACAUAAACCUGCAUCUACACAAAAUUAAAAACGAAAACAUGAUGUAAUUUGGAGUGAUUAUAAGGAUAUUUUGCUUUAAACGAAAAAAAAGAUCAUCCUUAUUAUGGAUGUAAUUAAAUAAAACAAACACAUUAUAUAAAUAAGAAACACUAUGAGUCUUUAUUUAAAAAUGAAGACUUUCAGGAUCAUUAAUUAUAAAAUUAAAUGCAAUUAAAAAUGAUCGAUCAUUGAUCAAAGAGCAAUUUGAAAUAAUUUAUAAAACCAUAUAAAAGAUGCUAAAUGCCAAUUAAAAUAAAACUAAAAUUUGAAAGAAACAACACUAAAAUAACUGAGAGAUCAUCAGAUAGGAGCGAAAGACUAAAAGAGAUGUAUAAUCACAGAAGAACAUCAUUUGAACUAUGCAAAUGAUCAUCAUUUGAAGCUCUCAAUUAAUACUUAGAUUUAAAUCGAAAAUUAAAACCAAUGAUCUAGAUACUUGGCCUCAUAGAGAAGAUUAGAUUUGACAACAUAGUAAGAUUCAGACAUAUGCUUGUCUAUUAUUAGAAUUUAAUCAUCGGCCAAAAAGAUGCAAUGAAAAAUACACUAAAUCAUCAAAUAGGAUAUCAAUCAACAAAUAGAGGAAAACACCUCUACAACUACAACGAAAGUCGAAAGGUACCUUUUCACAACCGAUUAAAAUGCAAAAAGAAAGAUGGAUGAUUCACUUGAUUGCCCAAAAAACAUCAAAUAUGUAAGAACAGAGAUCAGAACAACGAUUUAUCAAGGUGGUGACUAGUAGCGAAGGACGUAUAAACCAUUAAAAUAGUUGCGACUGAAUUUGAUAGAUUUGUUCGUUGUUAUUUAUAGAGGCGCGAUGAGGAGCUAGGGUUUUUAUCAGGUGAGUAUUGGUGAUGGUUUGGGCCACCGAUUUGUAAUUUGAG
rnacentral:lncRNA from 1 species